rnacentral:lncRNA from 1 species
ACUUCGUUUGAUUUCAGAUAUAUGCGUUCGUAGGGUACUUCAUUUCAACAUGGAUUCGGGCAAGGUGGAAUGAGAGGUAGGGUUGAGGAAGGUCUCCCAAUGAUAAGAGGGCUGAAGGAAGGCAUUCUGAUGAUGGUAGUCAUCCAUCUUCAAGGAAAUGGGAUGAAUAGAAAUUCUCACUGGACACAGUGCUAUGUCAAUACUCUCAAAUUCUCUGUAUGAACAAAAAAUUGGUUUAUUUGCUUAAAUUGCUUUGAAGAACCAAAUGUUGUUGAAGGUGCUCUUUGUCAUAUACCAAAAGUUGUUG